AAAAAUUUAUAGGAUUAGAAGUUUUCACUAUUAAAAUAAUGUUAUAGUUAAUUUUAAAAUAAAAAUUAUUUUUAAAAAAAUUUUAAAUGUUUUAUAAAAUAAAUAAAUUUAAUAGUUAAUUUUUUAAUAUUAUGAUAAAAUUAGUAGUUAAUGAUUGUAAUAGUAAGGGGUAAUUUUAGGUAAAUUUAAGGAAUUCGGCAAAUUGAUUUUUCACCUGUUUAUUAAAAACAUGGCCUUUAGAUUAUAAUUUAAGGUCUGGCCUGCCCACUGAGUAUUAAAGGGCCGCGGUAUCUUGACCGUGCAAAGGUAGCAUAAUCAUUAGUUUCUUAAUUAGAAGCUGGAAUGAAUGGUUUUAUGAAAAAAUAGCUGUCUCAAUUUUAGUAAAAAUGAAUUUUAUCUUUAAGUUAAAAAGCUUAAAUAUGAUUGAAAGACGAGAAGACCCUAUAGAUUUUUAUAAGUUUAUAUUUUUAUGUUUUUGGUAUUUAAAUUAUGAAAAUAGGAAUUUAUUUAAUUGGGGUGAUUGAAAAAUUUAAUUAACUUUUUUUUAUAAACCAUAAAUUUAUGAAUAUAUGAUCCAGUUUUAUUGAUUAUAAGAUUAAAUUACCUUAGGGAUAACAGCGUUAUUUUAUAUGAGAGUUCUAAUUGAAUAUAAAGAUUGCGACCUCGAUGUUGGAUUAAAAUUAAUUUUUGGUGAAGAAGCUAAAAUAUUAGGUCUGUUCGACCUUUAAAAUUUUACAUGAUCUGAGUUUAAACCGGUGUGAGCCAGGUUGGUUUCUAUCUUUAAUAAAAUUUUAUAUUUUAGUACGAAAGGACCAAAUAUGAGAUAAAUUAUUUAUUAGUAGAAUUAAAGU
rnacentral:rRNA from 1 species